AGAUUGAACGCUGGCGGCAUGCUUUACACAUGCAAGUCGAACGGCAGCACGACGUGUAGCAAUACACGUUGGUGGCGAGUGGCGAACGGGUGAGUAAUACAUCGGAACGUGUCCAGUAGUGGGGGAUAACCAAUCGAAAGAUUAGCUAAUACCGCAUACGAUCUACGGAUGAAAGCGGGGGACCCGCAAGGGCCUCGCGCUAUUGGAGCGGCCGAUGUCCGAUUAGCUAGUUGGCGGGGUAACGGCCCACCAAGGCGACGAUCGGUAGCUGGUCUGAGAGGAUGAUCAGCCACACUGGAACUGAGACACGGUCCAGACUCCUACGGGAGGCAGCAGUGGGGAAUUUGGACAAUGGGCGCAAGCCUGAUCCAGCCAUGCCGCGUGAGUGAAGAAGGCC
rnacentral:rRNA from 1 species